rnacentral:rRNA from 1 species
CCUUGAUACUCAUAGCGCAGUGGACCCACUCCAAACCAUUCCGAACUUGGCAGUUAAACGCUGUUGCGACGACGAUACUUGAGAGGACACUUUCUGGGAAAAUAGUUAAAUAUCAAGG